rnacentral:rRNA from 1 species
UACGGAGGGGGAGAGGGUUGUUCGGAAUCACUGGGCGUAAAGCGCACGCAGGCGGAUCGAUAAGUCGGGGGUGAAAGCCCGGGGCUCAACCUCGGAAUUGCCUUCGAUACUGUCGGUCUCGAGUCCGGGAGAGGUGAGUGGAAUUCCUAGUGUAGAGGUGAAAUUCGUAGAUAUUAGGAAGAACACCAGUGGCGAAGGCGGCUCACUAGCCCGGUACUGACGCUCAGGUGCGAAAGCGUGGGGAGCAAACAGG